UUCAUGCUGGACUACUUAAAUAAUGGA
rnacentral:sRNA from 1 species